UACGAAGGGGGGCUAGCGUUGCUCGGAACGACUGGGCGUAAAGGGCGCGUAGGCGGCGUGCACAGUCGGAUGUGAAAUUCCUGGGCUUAACCUGGGGGGCUGCAUUCGAUACGUGCAUGCUUGAGUGCGGAAGAGGGUCGUGGAAUUCCCAGUGUAGAGGUGAAAUUCGUAGAUAUUGGGAAGAACACCGGUGGCGAAGGCGGCGACCUGGUCCGUGACUGACGCUGAGGCGCGAAAGCGUGGGGAGCAAACAGG
rnacentral:rRNA from 1 species